rnacentral:misc_RNA from 1 species
GACGGAGGGUGCAAACGUUGUUCGGAAUCACUGGGCAUAAAGCGCACGUAGGCGGUCCGCUAAGUCAGAUGUGAAAGCCCCCGGCUCAACCGAGGAAUUGCAUUUGAUACUGGCGGGCUCGAGGACGGUAGGGGUGAGUGGAACUCCAGGUGGAGCGGUGAAAUGCGUAGAUAUCUGGAGGAACACCGGUGGCGAAAGCGGCUCACUGGACCGUGUCUGACGCUGAGGUGCGAAAGCCAGGGUAGCGAACGGG